rnacentral:piRNA from 1 species
AAAUGUUAGCUCAUGUACUU